rnacentral:rRNA from 2 species
UUUAAAGAGAGUUUGAUCCUGGCUCAGGACGAACGCUGGCGGCGUGCCUAAUACAUGCAAGUCGAACGAACGGAGGAAGAGCUUGCUCUUCCAAAGUUAGUGGCGGACGGGUGAGUAACACGUGGGCAACCUGCCUGUAAGUUGGGGAUAACUCCGGGAAACCGGGGCUAAUACCGA